rnacentral:rRNA from 1 species
AACGAACGCUGGCGGCAUGCCUAACACAUGCAAGUCGAACGAGACCUUCGGGUCUAUUGGCGCACGGGUGCGUAACGCGUCGGAACCUGCACUUAGGUUCGGAAUAACUCUCCGACAGGGGUGCUAAUACCGGAUAAUGUCUUCUAACCAAAGAUUUAUCGCCUUUGGAUGGUCCCGCGUUGAAUUAGCUAGUUGGUAGGGUAAAAGCCUACCAAGGCGACGAUCCAUAGCUGGUCUGAGAGGAUGAUCAGCCACACUGGGACUGAGACACGGCCCAGACUCCUACGGGAGGCAGCAGUGGGGAAUAUUGGACAAUGGGCGAAAGCCUGAUCCAGCAAUGCCGCGUGAGUGAUGAAGGCCUUAGGGUUGUAAAGCUCUUUUACCCGGGAUGAUAAUGACAGUACCGGGAGAAUAAGCUCCGGCUAACUCCGUG